rnacentral:lncRNA from 1 species
GAAUGGAAUGAGGAGGAGAAGCAAAAGGGAUUGCAUCAAGGAAGUCUCCGAUUCGCCGAGAACAGCCGGUCCGAGCGCGGCCGCCGUGUUGCCUCUGCGCCAACACCCCCAAAUACUACACCUGCCCAUGUUUAAUGGCAUGGUUAAUUAAAGUAUGUUGGGAGCUGUUGAAAAUAAUAAUGAAAAUCAAAGGCUGUAACAAAGUAAUUUAAGUUUUUUUUUUCCCUUACGAUCUGACGCCCUUCAAAAUUAAACUAGUUGUUUAGAUGCAACUGAUGUUUAUCUCUGAGAGAAGAAAAAUGCAAAAUGUUAUUGUACAUCUAAAUAGAGGAUUCUGGGUUGUGUACAAGACGAUGAAAUGAAUAUGCUUUUGUGCUUAUGUAUGGGUACAAGAACUAGGUAUUCAUUUUGAUCACUUUAAGCAUUAGAAAAUUUUCCUUGUGUUUUCCCCUUAUUCUUUCAUAUUAUUUGAAUUUUAAGUUACUUUUGAAAUGGUUGCCCAUUACUCAUUUGACGCCUCAUUCUGCUUAGAUUAGCAGGGACCUAACAUUUGCUUGAUUUGCUAAUGGGUAUGUCAUGGCUUAAACAUUUUGUAAGAAUGUCUUCUCUAAAAGCCACAACAUUGAACAUAAAGUGACUUUGUGAAGUACUACUGAACUCUUGCAUUAUUUGGAAUGAUUUGAGAUAACUGUAAAGUAAUCAAUUUUCAUAUUGGUGUCAAUGUGAGUCCAUAAACUUUCUGUCUCGUGUAAGAAUAAAUGAAAUUAACUUAGAUUGAGAAAAGGUUUAUCCAAUUGUUUUCCUCUUUGGAAUUUGCUUCCCAUUAUAUAUUGGUAUGAAUAAGGGGAUAUGAUACAAAAGUAUAGACAAUCAAUUGAAUUAAAUACACCGAGUUGAUAAUUAUAUAAGAAAAUCAGUACUUUGUAAACUAAGUCAUUAUGUAAUUUUUGAUUGGUUGCAAUUCAAUAUCCGUUAACUAUAUUUGUUACACUUAUCCUUCUCUUUCAAAAAAUUAUUAUGCUUCCGAAUGGAAUGAGGAGGAGAAGCAAAAGGGAUUGCAUCAAGGAAGUCUCUGAUUCGCCAAGAACAGCCGGUCCGAGCACGGCCACCAUGUUGCCUCUGCGCCAACACCCCCAAAUACUACACCUUCCCAUUUCUAGCUAGGGCACUAGGCAGGAUCAAGUAUGGUGCGAUGGCUGAGAUUAUAUGUUGAGAAAUUAAGAUUAUGAAUACUAUUUUGUUU